rnacentral:rRNA from 1 species
AAAGUUUCCUUCGGGGAACAAGUAGAGUGGCGCACGGGUGAGUAACACGUAGGUAAUCUACCUUUGGAUGGGGAAUAACAACCGGAAACGGUUGCUAAUACCGCAUAAUGUAGCGGCACCUAAUGGUGACAGUUGUUAAAGCGGGGGAUCGAAAGACCUCGCGUCUGAAGAGGAGCCUGCGGCGGAUUAGCUAGUUGGUAAGGUAACGGCUUACCAAGGCAAUGAUCCGUAGCCGGCCUGAGAGGGCGGUCGGCCACACUGACACUGACAUACGGGUCAGACUCCUACGGGAGGCAGCAGUCGGGAAUUUUGGGCAAUGGGCGAAAGCCUGACCCAGCAACGCCGCGUGAAGGAUGAAAUCCCUCGGGAUGUAAACUUCGCAAGAACGGGAAGAAUAAGUAAGGGUUAACACCUCUUACGAUGACGGUACUGUUUGUAAGCUCCGGCUAACUCCGUGCCAGCAGCCGCGGUAAUACGGGGGGAGCAAGCGUUGUUCGGAUUUACUGGGCGUAAAGGGCGCGUAGGCGGCCACCGCAAGUCGGUUGUGAAAUCUCUGGGCUUAACCCAGAAAGGUCAACCGAUACUGCGGGGCUAGAGUGCAGAAGGGGCAACUGGAAUUCUCGGUGUAGCGGUGAAAUGCGUAGAUAUCGAGAGGAACACCUGCGGCGAAGGCGGGUUGCUGGGCUGACACUGACGCUGAAGUGCGAAAGCUAGGGGAGCGAACGGGAUUAGAUACCCCGGUAGUCCUAGCCUUAAACGAUGAAUGCUUGGUGUCUGGGGUUUUAUAGU